rnacentral:rRNA from 1 species
GACGAACGCUGGCGGCGCGCUUAACACAUGCAAGUCGAGCGAGAACCAGGGCUUCGGCCCUGGGGACAGCGGCGAACGGGUGAGUAACACGUGGGUAAUCUGCCCUCGGCACCGGAAUAGCCCGGGGAAACCCGGAUUAAUGCCGGAUGGCCCGCCCGCCUUUCGAGGCGGUCGGAAAAGGUAGCUUUGGCCUCCGGCCGAGGAUGAGCCCGCGGCGGAUUAGCUUGUUGGUGAGGUAAUGGCUCACCAAGGCACCGAUCCGUAGCUGGUCUGAGAGGACGAUCAGCCACACUGGGACUGAGACACGGCCCAGACUCCUACGGGAGGCAGCAGUGGGGAAUCUUGCGCAAUGGGCGAAAGCCUGACGCAGCGACG